rnacentral:rRNA from 1 species
GAUGAACGCUGGCGGCGUGCCUAAUACAUGCAAGUCGAGCGAACGGACGAGAAGCUUGCUUCUCCGAUGUUAGCGGCGGACGGGGGAGUAACACGUGGAUAACCUACCUAUCAGCCUGGGAUCACUUCGGGAAACCGGAGCUAACACCGGAUAAUAUUUUGAACCGCAUGGUUCAAAAGUGAAAGACGCUCUUGCUGUCACUUAUAGAUGGAUCCGCGCUGCAUUAGCUAGUUGGUAAGGUAACGGCUUACCAAGGCAACGAUGCAUAGCCGACCUGAGAGAGUGAUCGGCCGCACGGGAGCGGGGACACGGAGCAGGACCCGGAGGGAGGCACGGGUAGGGAAUCUUCGGGAGGGGGCGGAAGGGUGACGGAGGAAAGGGGCGCGAGUGAGGAAGGUCUUCGGAGCGUAAAGGAAGGCGACUAGCGAGGAACAUAUGUGUAAGGAAAGGUGCAAAUCUUGACGGUACCUGAUGAAAAAGCCACGGCUAACUCCGUG